rnacentral:rRNA from 1 species
UACGGAGGGGGCAAGCGUUGUUAGGCAUUACUGGGCGUAAAGGGCGCGUAGGCGGACCUUCAAGUCAGGGGUGACAGGCCUGGGCUCAAGCUGGUGACUGCCUUUGAAACUGGAGGUCUUGAGUCCGGGAGAGGAUGGCGGAAUUCCCAGUGUAGAGGUGAAAUUCGUAGAUAUUGGGUAGAACACCGGUGGCGAAGGCGGACAUCUGGUCCGGUACUGACGCUGAGGCGCGAAAGCGUGUGGAGCAAACGGG